CUUCAAAAUCUCCACUCCAGCUAUGCUGCAAUUUAGAGCAGCCAACAUUUCCUUCUGUGUUUCCUUUCUCCUGUCACCCAAGAAAGAAUAAAUACAUAUCUUUACUUGAAAAUGUAGGUGUCCUGCAGUGACUUGUUGAUUGGUUCUAUGCCAUCUUCAUGCACCGCCAGUAUUUACCAGAGCCAAGGCCUCCCGAUAAGCAUGUUGACAUAACCCGCAAAGUCAAGUAUCCGAAAGAAAUAUCAUUGAGAAUAUUCCCAUGUGGCCACUGAUGUUUUAUGUAUACAAGGCCAGCGAAAAAUAUCAUCCAUUUUAACAGAGUCAGCUGUUAAUGAGAAGGAACAC
ensembl:lncRNA